rnacentral:rRNA from 1 species
UACGUAGGGGCAAGCGUUGUCCGGAAUUACUGGGCGUAAAGCGCACGCAGGCUGACUUAUAAGUCGGUAGUCUAAUGCGGAGGCUCAACUUCCGUUUAUCUAUCGAUACUGUAAGACUAGAGUAUGUGAGAGGGAAGUGGAAUUCCCGGUGUAGCGGUGAAAUGCGUAGAUAUCGGGGAGGAACACCAGUGGCGAAGGCGACUUCCUGGCACAAUACUGACGCUCAUGUGCGAAAGCUAGGGUAGCGAACGGGAUUAGAUACCCCGGUA